rnacentral:rRNA from 1 species
AUUGAACGCUGGCGGCAUGCCUUACACAUGCAAGUCGAACGGCAGCACAGGAGCAAUCCUGGUGGCGAGUGGCGAACGGGUGAGUAAUAUAUCGGAACGUGCCCAGUCGUGGGGAUAACGUAGCGAAAGCUACGCUAAUACCGCAUACGAUCUAUGGAUGAAAGCGGGGGAUCGCAAGACCUCGCGCGAUUGGAGCGGCCGAUAUCAGAUUAGGUAGUUGGUGAGGUAAAGGCUCACCAAGCCGACGAUCUGUAGCUGGUCUGAGAGGACGACCAGCCACACUGGGACUGAGACACGGCCCCAGACUCCUACGGAGGCAGCAGUGGGGAAUUUUUGGACAAUGGGCGCAAGCCUGAUCCAGCAAUGCCGCGUGCCA